rnacentral:ncRNA from 2 species
UAUCUUUGCCCAGAUUUUGGUGAGCAUUUAUCGGUAUCAAAGAAAAUGUUCUUAAAAGGGAAAUAGGUGAAAGAUGAACUCCAAUAGUUCUAAAAUAUUAAAUCCUAUGCUGUUCCCGCAACUGUAAGUCGGCUCAAGUUUUGCUUGGGUGUGCAUACUUCAAAAACCACUGUUCCUGGUAUUGGAAUGGGAAGGUCGCACAAUAGAUAAGCCAGGAGACCUGCCAAGAUUAUAACAUAAAA